rnacentral:rRNA from 1 species
AUUGAACGCUGGCGGCAAGCCUAACACAUGCAAGUCGAACGAGUGGCGGACGGGUGAGUAAGGUCUGGGAAACUGCCUGAUGGAGGGGGAUAACUACUGGAAACGGUAGCUAAUACCGCAUACCAUCGGAUGUGCCCAGAUGUGAGUAGCUAGUAGGUGGGGUAAAGGCUCACCUAGGCGACGAUCCCUAGCUGGUCUGAGCGGAUGACCAGCCACCCUGAAACUGAAACACGGUCCAGACUCCUACGGGAGGCAGCAGUGGGGGAUAUUGCACAAUGGGCGCAAGCAUGCUGCAGCCAUGCCGCGUGUAUGAAGAAGGCCUUCGGGUUGUAAAGUACUUUCAGCGGGGAGGCGUUACCCGCAGAAGAAGCACCGGCUAACUCCGUGCCAGCAGCCGCGGUAAUUC